UGAGGAAUAUUGGUCAAUGGGCGCGAGCCUGAACCAGCCAAGUAGCGUGAAGGAUGAAGGUCCUACGGAUUGUAAACUUCUUUUAUAAGGGAAUAAAGUCACCCACGUGUGGGUGUUUGUAUGUACCUUAUGAAUAAGCAUCGGCUAACUCCGUGCCAGCAGCCGCGGUAAUACGGAGGAUGCGAGCGUUAUCCGGAUUUAUUGGGUUUAAAGGGAGCGUAGACGGGCCGUUAAGUCAGCUGUGAAAGUUUGAGGCUCAACCUUAAAAUUGCAGUUGAUACUGGCGUCCUUGAGUACGGUUGAGGCAGGCGGAAUUCGUGGUGUAGCGGUGAAAUGCUUAGAUAUCACGAAGAACCCCGAUUGCGAAGGCAGCCUGCUAAACCGCCACUGACGUUGAGGCUCGAAAGUGUGGGUAUCAAACAGGAUUAGAUACCCUGGUAGUCCACACGGUAAACGAUGGAUACUCGCUGUUGGCGAUAGACUGUCAGCGGCUUAGCGAAAGCGUUAAGUAUCCCACCUGGGGAGUACGCCGGCAACGGUGAAACUCAAAGGAAUUGACGGGGGCCCGCACAAGCGGAGGAACAUGUGGUUUAAUUCGAUGAUACGCGAGGAACCUUACCCGGGCUUGAAUUGCAAACGAAUUGCUUGGAAACCGGCAAGCCGCAAGGCGUCUGUGAAGGUGCUGCAUGGUUGUCGUCAGCUCGUGCCGUGAGGUGUCGGCUUAAGUGCCAUAACGAGCGCAACCCUCGUGUCCAGUUACUAGCAGGUUAUGCUGAGGACUCUGGCCAGACUGCCAUCGUAAGAUGUGAGGAAGGUGGGGAUGACGUCAAAUCAGCACGGCCCUUACGUCCGGGGCUACACACGUGUUACAAUGGGGGGUACAGCAGGCAGCUACCGGGCGACCGGAUGCCAAUCCCGAAAGCCUCUCUCAGUUCGGACUGGAGUCUGCAACCCGACUCCACGAAGCUGGAUUCGCUAGUAAUCGCGCAUCAGCCACGGCGCGGUGAAUACGUUCCC
rnacentral:rRNA from 1 species